UACAGAGGGGGCAAGCGUUGUUCGGAAUUACUGGGCGUAAAGGGCGCGUAGGCGGCCUGUUAAGUCGAACGUGAAAUCCCCCGGGCUCAACCCGGGAACUGCGUCCGAUACUGGAAGGCUUGAAUCCGGGAGAGGGAUGCGGAAUUCCAGGUGUAGCGGUGAAAUGCGUAGAUAUCUGGAGGAACACCGGUGGCGAAGGCGGCAUCCUGGACCGGCAUUGACGCUGAGGCGCGAAAGCCAGGGGAGCAAACGGG
rnacentral:rRNA from 1 species